rnacentral:tRNA from 1 species
GAUUUGCUAGCUCAGUUGGCUAGAGCAUGGUGCUAAAAACACCAAGGUCAUGGGUUCAAGCCCCAUGCUGGCCA